ensembl:lncRNA
CUGAUUCUGAAAGUGACGAGAGAGAGAGAGAGAGAGAGAGAGAGAGAGAGAGAGAGAGAGAGAGAGAGAGAGAGAGAGAGAGAGAGAGAGAGAGAGAGAGAGAGAGAGAGAGAGAGAGAGAGAGAGAGAGAGAGAGAGAGAGGAACAAUACAAUUGCACAUAACAGAGAGAGAGCGAGAGGUAAGGUUAUUAUUGUGUAUUGUGGCAGAGGGAUAAAGGGAGUUUGAGGUUUGAGAGACAGAGAGGGAGAGAGAGUGUGGGAGGGUUUAGUGAGUGCUUCUGUGUGUUUUCUUUGGACAGAGUUGGUUUCGUGUGCAGGACAGACACUCCUCCGGUCUGUCUGAUCGUCAGUCUGACCGUUUUCCAAGCAACUUUCCACGCGAAUGCCCACACACUCUCACACACACACACACUCACUCGUGCCUACAUCUGCUCACCAGGAGUCCUUCUGCUUUGGCCUCCGUCGCCUUGGGAACCUCACCUCUAAUUGACAGUGUGUGUGUGUGUGUGUGUGUGUGUGUGUGUGUGACGAUGUACCACCCCACCACACGGGACGAUUCUAAUGAAGACAUACAUCUUCCUGUCCUGGAGAGCUGAGCGCUGCUGCGGUUCUCUCAGAGGUCCUCGGUGGCAGACGGACUGACGGACGGAACCACAACUUGUCGGGCAGUGAAAAGCAAAGUCGGAACCAACACUUUUUUUCGGUUGGAAUCAACGAUGUGACGGAGAGCGGCCGGAACGGGGAACCGACCGCCAUUUGAACUCAAACCCGAAAAACCCAGCGGGGAAAACGGUCCGCUCGGAACCCUCGGAAAAAAACGUGGCCGUUUUUUGGAAACCGACUGCUCCUCACCGCCGGUUCCACCGCAGCCGCCGUCGCGUGAUUGGCUCAUGUGGGCAGGAAGGAAUGCGGACGUGAGAGACCGGCGUUCCCAGAUGCCCGCCGCCCUGCUCCCGGGCCCCGCCCCCACGUCGGCGCCCGACUGGAGCUUCCAGAACCCGGUGGGGGUGGACUGCAGCUCCCCGGAGCCCCGCUGCAUCUGGCUGGCCGUGCUCCGCGGCCGGGCGGCCUCGCCUACGUUUCCCAGCAUGCACCUGGCCGCCGGCAGUGGUGGCGGCGGGCACGGUCAGACCAACAGGGUCGUUCUGCCCCCCGAUUGGCCGAUGGGUAACGGGAGGAGGGAUGGUCUGCCCUCGACCAGUGACAACCCCCGGCCGGCCUUGGCGACGUGCCCAGGGAGAGACGGAGGAGGAGGGGGGGGAGGAGGUGGAGGAGG